AGACGGAGGAUGCAAGUGUUAUCCGGAAUUAUUGGGCGUAAAGCGUCUGUAGGUUGCCUAACAAGUCUGUUGUUAAAGGUUAAAGCUUAACUUUAAAACUGCAGCAGAAACUGCUAGGCUUGAGUACAGUCGAAGUAGAGGGAAUUUCCAGUGAAGCGGUGAAAUGCGUAGAUAUUGGAAGGAACACCAAUGGCGAAAGCACUCUACUAGACUUUUACUGACACUCAGAGACGAAAGCUAGGGUAGCAAAUGGGAUUAGAUACCCCAGUAGUCCUAGCCGUAAACGAUGGAUACUAAACAUUGCGUGCAUCGAUCCGCGUGGUGUUAUAGCUAACGUGUUAAGUAUCCCGCCUGGGGAGUAUGCUCGCAAGGGUGAAACUCAAAGGAAUUGACGGGGCCCGCACAAGCGGUGGAGCAUGUGGUUUAAUUUGAUGCAACGCGAAGAACCUUACCAGGGUUUGACAUGGUGUUAAUUCUUUGAAAAAAGAAGUGCCGUUCGCGGUAGACACACACAGGUGGUGC
rnacentral:rRNA from 1 species